rnacentral:snRNA from 1 species
GGAUGUGAGGGCGACCUGUCACCCCACUGAUCACCAGGGUUGAUUAGGCUGACCUGGCUGGCGGCGGGUGGCCCCUUCCUCACCUGCCCAUGUGCGGCCCUCCUGAAGCUGCGCGCUGGUCGGGUAGCUGCGCCCCCUGCUAGAACCUCCAAACAAGCUCUGCAACUAGAGGACAGUACAACACUCAGUGCCCAUGG